UGGGGGAUAUUGCACAAUGGGCGAAAGCCUGAUGCAGCGACGCCGCGUGGGGGAUGAAGGCCUUCGGGUUGUAAACUUCUUUUGCUCUGAACAAGGCGCACCAUGGGGUGUGUUGAGUGUAGGGGUUGAUUAGCGCCGGCUAACUACGUGCCAGCAGCCGCGGUAAUACGGAGGGCGCGAGCGUUGUCCGGAAUUAUUGGGCGUAAAGGGCUUGUAGGUGGCUGGUUGCGUCUGUCGUGAAAGCUCAUGGCUUAACUGUGGGUUUGCGGUGGGUACGGACUGCCUUGAGUGCAGUAGGGGAGGCUGGAGUUCCUGGUGUAGCGGUGGAAUGCGCAGAUAUCAGGAGGAAUACCGGUGGCGAAGGCGGGUCUCUGGGCUGUUACUGACACUGAGGAGCGAAAGCAUGGGGAGCGAACAGG
rnacentral:rRNA from 1 species